CUUGGCAUAGGACCUGGAAUAUGCUGCCAGGUGGGCAAAGUGUUGCUCAAUGCACCUGUGUUUGCGGCUGCCCUUCCACUUUAGAAAGCUAAUGGAAGAGACAGGGCUGCUGGUCCCAGCUGGGAGGCUCCUUGCUAAAGGCUGUAGGCCCAUCUCCUCAGUAGGGUGAACAGAGGGCCUGGGGUACCAGACACCCACAGUGCCAAGAAGCUGGAACCCUUUUUUUAAAAGAACAGAAACAGAAUCACAAAGUAGUCCUGGCCAGGCCACUGGUGUGGAUGGGGUCAUGAACUGCCCCUUCCUUACCAAAGCAGCUAUGUUUCCACACUCUGCUUAGAAAGCCAUUAGAUAGCCUUUCACCAGCCUAGGCCUGGGAAAAGGAAUUCGCUGUGCCGGAUCUUAGCCUCAAAUGGCUGCUAACCUUUAAAAGGAGGAUGAGAGCAGAGGAGUUGGUGGAACCUCGGGCACUUCUCGAGGUGGGUGCUUUCCUCAGAGAGCUUGCCCGUGUGUUCAUAAGGGUGUGUGGAAUGCCUCUCAGGACACCGCUCUGAUGCUUUUCAGCCCCUUGGGGAAGAGACCCUCACAGGCUAGUCUGAGUGGGUACCAUCUUGGAACAGUAGGGAAGUGGUAGCCAAGCAGGACCCUCUGUGAGAAUGGGGAUAUGCUGGGGAGCCCUGGCUCACGGCCUUCUCCCAUGUCUUUUCAGAUGCGCUGGCUCCCUCCCUCCGAGGCUACUUCUCAGGGCUGGAAGUCCCGUCAGUUCUGCUGAAUACUAUGUCCCAGGUGUGUGAUGGCGGCUGCAAUCUGUCUUGUGGGUAUUAAUGCAAUCUUCAGUGGUGGCUCCUGUUCUCUAGCUGUUCUACAAAACUGGAGCAUGCUGGCUUGAAAAAACCUUGCCCAGUUUUGAUCCCUUCAAGACUUUGUCACAGCCUCUAUCACACAUCUGUUUUUCUCGAAGAAAAAAAUAAUAAAAAUGUUUUACUCUUUUACACUGUAUAA
rnacentral:sRNA from 1 species